CAGGUUUUGGUCCAAUACCGCAGCAUUUGGAAUACGGAGGAGUUUAAGAAGACUGCUGCGAAGAACAAAAGAAAUAGAAAUUCAGAUUGCGGGGGAUUGGGACCAUCACUGCACACUGCAGGUUCAAUCUCUAUUUCUGAGCAUAGGAGAAGAUUAAAAGAAAAGCUUGGAGAAGAGUCCUCGCAUGCAGUGUUGUUCCAAGCAACUCACAAACG